AUUGAACGCUGGCGGCAGGCCUAACACAUGCAAGUCGAACGAGUGGCGGACGGGUGAGUAAUGUAUGGGAAACUGCCUGAUAGAGGGGGAUAACUACUGGAAACGGUGGCUAAUACCGCAUACCAUCGGAUGUGCCCAGAUGGGAUUAGCUAGUAGGUGGGGUAACGGCUCACCUAGGCGCCGAUCCCUAGCUGGUCUGCGAGGAUGACCAGCCACACUGGAACUGAGACACGGCCCAGACUCCUACGGGAGGAAGCAGUGGGGAAUAUUGCACAAUGGGCGCAAGCCUGAUGCAGCCAUGCAGCGUGUAUGAAGAAGGCCUUCGGGUUGUAAAGUACGUUCAGCGGGGAGGCGUUACCCGCAGAAGAAGCACCGGCUAACUCCGUGCCAGCAGCCGCGGUAAUAC
rnacentral:rRNA from 1 species